CCAGCAGCCGCGGUAAUUCCAGCUCAAAUAGCGUAUAUUACAGUUGUUGCAGUUAAAAAGCUCGUACUUGGAGUUCUGGCAGGAGCGUCCGGCCUCACACGCAGUGCGGGAACUUGGAUGUCUCUGGCCAUCCUUGGCGAUAUCCUGUUUGGCAUUAAGUUGUCGGGCAGGGGAUACCCAUCGUUUACUGUGAAAAAAUUAGAGUGUUUAAAGCAGGCUUACGCCGUUGAAUAUAUUAGCAUGGAAUAAUAAGAUAGGACUUUGGUACUAUUUUGUUGGUUUGUGCACCAGAGUAAUGAUUAAUAGGGACAGUUGGGGCUAUUCGUAUUCCAUUGUCAGAGGUGAAAUUCUUGGAUUUCUGGAAGACGAACUACUGCGAAAGCAUUUAGCAAGGAUGUUUUCA
rnacentral:rRNA from 1 species